rnacentral:rRNA from 1 species
UUGGAGGGCAAGUCUGGUGCCAGCAGCCGCGGUAAUUCCAGCUCCAAUAGCGUAUAUUAAAGUUGUUGUGGUUAAAAAGCUCGUAGUUGAAUCUUGGGCCUGGCUGGCCGGUCCGCCUCACCGCGUGUACUGGUCCGGCCGGGUCUUUCACUCUGCGGAACCACAUGCCCUUCAGUGGGUGUGGCGGGGAAGCAGGACUUUUACUUUGAAAAAAUUAGAGUGCUCUAAGCAGGCCAAUGCUCGAAUACAUUAGCAUGGAAUAAUAAAAUAGG